rnacentral:rRNA from 1 species
UAGGGAAUCUUCCACAAUGGACGAAAGUCUGAUGGAGCAACGCCGCGUGAGUGAAGAAGGGUUUCGGCUCGUAAAACUCUGUUGUUAAAGAAGAACAUAUCUGAGAGUAACUGUUCAGGUAUUGACGGUAUUUAACCAGAAAGCCUCGGCUAACUACGUGCCAG